UACGAAGGGGGCUAGCGUUGUUCGGAAUUACUGGGCGUAAAGGGCGCGCAGGCGGCCUCUCAAGUCAGAUGUGAAAGCCCCGGGCUCAACCUGGGAAUAGCAUUUGGGACUGGGAGGCUUGAGAUCGGGAGAGGAGAGUGGAAUUCCCAGUGUAGAGGUGAAAUUCGUAGAUAUUGGGAAGAACACCAGUGGCGAAGGCGGCUCUCUGGACCGAUACUGACGCUGAGGCGCGAAAGCGUGGGGAGCAAACAGG
rnacentral:rRNA from 1 species